rnacentral:ncRNA from 1 species
AUUCUGGUUGAUCCUGCCAGUAGUUAUAUGCUUGUCUCAAAGAUUAAGCCAUGCAUGUCUAAGUACACACGAAUUAAAAGUGAAACCGCAAAAGGCUCAUUAUAUCAGUUAUGGUUCCUUAGAUCGUUAACAGUUACUUGGAUAACUGUGGUAAUUCUAGAGCUAAUACAUGCAAUUAAAACAUGAACCUUAUGGGACAUGUGCUUUUAUUAGGCUAAAACCAAGCGAUCGCAAGAUCGUUAUAUUGGUUGAACUCUAGAUAACAUGCAGAUCGUAUGGUCUUGUACCGACGACAGAUCUUUCAAAUGUCUGCCCUAUCAACUUUUGAUGGUAGUAUCUAGGACUACCAUGGUUGCAACGGGUAACGGGGAAUCAGGGUUCGAUUCCGGAGAGGGAGCCUGAGAAACGGCUACCACAUCUAAGGAAGGCAGCAGGCGCGUAAAUUACCCACUCCCAGCUCGGGGAGGUAGUGACGAAAAAUAACAAUACAGGACUCAUAUCCGAGGCCCUGUAAUUGGAAUGAGUACACUUUAAAUCCUUUAACAAGGACCAAUUGGAGGGCAAGUCUGGUGCCAGCAGCCGCGGUAAUUCCAGCUCCAAUAGCGUAUAUUAAAGUUGUUGCGGUUAAAACGUUCGUAGUUGAACUUGUGCUUCAUACGGGUAGUACAACUUACAAUUGUGGUUAGUACUAUACCUUUAUGUAUGUAAGCGAAAUACCGGUGGAGUUCUUAUAUGUGAUUAAAUACUUGUAUUUUU